UACGGGGGGGGGCAAGCGUUGUCCGGAAUCAUUGGGCGUAAAGAGCGUGUAGGCGGCCAGAAAAGUCCGCUGUGAAAACUCGAGGCUCAACUUCGAGCUGUCGGUGGAAACUUUCUGGCUAGAGUCCGGAAGAGGAGAAUGGAAUUCCUGGUGUAGCGGUGAAAUGCGCAGAUAUCAGGAGGAACACCAGUGGCGAAGGCGGUGCUCUGGGCCGGAACUGACGCUGAGGAGCGAAAGCGUGGGGAGCAAACAGG
rnacentral:rRNA from 1 species